UAGGGAAUCUUCCACAAUGGACGAAAGUCUGAUGGAGCAACGCCGCGUGAGUGAAGAAGGGUUUCGGCUCAUAAAACUCUGUUGUUAAAGAAGAACAUAUCUGAGAGUAACUGUUCAGGUAUUGACGGUAUUUAACCAGAAAGCCACGGCUAACUACGUGCCAC
rnacentral:rRNA from 1 species